rnacentral:tRNA from 1 species
UCCCUGGUAGCUCAGAAGUUAAAGCGUCUGCCUCCAAUGCAGGAGACCCAGGUUCCAUCCCUGGGUUGGGAA